CGUUGAAACACCGGUUCCCAUACGAACACCGAAGUUAAGCAACGUCGAGUUUGGUCAGUACCUAGAUGGGAGACAUCUUAGGAAUACCAAGU